UGGAGGGACAAUGAAGGCUAUGAAAAAGCAGAGAAAAACAACAACCAGCUACAGAGAUUUUGUUGUCAAAUGUCUGCUGACUUUUUUUACUUUUUUUCGUAUUUACAGGAAAGCCAAUGGCAGAUGAAAACUUUAACUUUCCACUAACAACAGAACAUCACUGAGGAUUACCACAUUUUCAGCUGCCUUCACAAAGUGUUGGACAUAGGGACUGGCACCAUGAAGUGAAAUGCUGUAACCCUAAUACUGGGAGAUCAGGAUAUAACUCAAGCUGUAAGUCAGUGGACUGAGCCACAUGAAUCUAAAGCAACUCAGCUUAUGGGGGAAUGAGAGGAAGAUCUGUGUUUACACCAAGAACAAUCUGUAAUUACUGGUUUCAGAAACUGGAAUUCUUCUGGCUGCUAUCAGUUACGAUGUCCCAGCACUUUGCAGGAAUGUGACUGCCAGUGACCCCUUGUUCACAUGUCAGAAGCCUUGUGCAUCUGAAUAUCUGUCUUUGGCUAUCUUAAGCAUGAAAACAUCUUUGGUUGCUAAAACUCUCAGUCUGGCACUUUACUGAGCAACAGCUUGUAAUAAUAAUAGUAAUAAUAACAACAAUAACACAUCUUUAUAAUAUGGUAACAUUCUUUUAAUAAAUAGAGUCUUCUUCUAGCUGAAGAAUAUAAGGUUACACUGGAAUAAGAUGGUUUCCAUCUUGAUCUCUUUAUCCAGUAUCCAACAUUAACUCAGGAGUCAAAAGUAAGUUAAAAUUUCAUAUUUCAUUUA